UACGGAGGGUGCAAGCGUUAAUCGGAAUUACUGGGCGUAAAGCGUGCGCAGGCGGUUUGUUAAGUCCGCUGUGAAAUCCCCGAGCUCAACUUGGGAAUUGCAGUGGAUACUGGCAAGCUGGAGUAUGGUAGGGGAAGGUGGAAUUCCCGGUGUAGCAGUGAAAUGCGUAGAGAUCGGGAGGAACACCAGUGGCGAAGGCGGCCUUCUGGACCAAUACUGACGCUCAUGCACGAAAGCGUGGGGAGCAAACAGG
rnacentral:rRNA from 1 species